rnacentral:rRNA from 2 species
GUCGAGCGAACAGAUGAGAAGCUUGCUUCUCUGAUGUUAGCGGCGGACGGGUGAGUAACACGUGGGUAACCUACCUAUAAGACUGGGAUAACUCCGGGAAACCGGGGCUAAUACCGGAUAAUAUUUUGAACCGCAUGGUUCAAUAGUGAAAGACGGUUUCGGCUGUCACUUAUAGAUGGACCCGCGCCGUAUUAGCUAGUUGGUAAGGUAACGGCUUACCAAGGCGACGAUACGUAGCCGACCUGAGAGGGUGAUCGGCCACACUGGAACUGAGACACGGUCCAGACUCCUACGGGAGGCAGCAGUAGGGAAUCUUCCGCAAUGGGCGAAAGCCUGACGGAGCAACGCCGCGUGAGUGAUGAAGGUCUUCGGAUCGUAAAACUCUGUUGUUAGGGAAGAACAAAUUUGUUAGUAACUGAACAAGUCUUGACGGUACCUAACCAGAAAGCCACGGCUAACUACGUGCCAGCAGCCGCGGUAAUACGUAGGUGGCAAGCGUUAUCCGGAAUUAUUGGGCGUAAAGCGCGCGUAGGCGGUUUCUUAAGUCUGAUGUGAAAGCCCACGGCUCAACCGUGGAGGGUCAUUGGAAACUGGGAAACUUGAGUGCAGAAGAGGAGAGUGGAAUUCCAUGUGUAGCGGUGAAAUGCGCAGAGAUAUGGAGGAACACCAGUGGCGAAGGCGGCUCUCUGGUCUGUAACUGACGCUGAUGUGCGAAAGCGUGGGGAUCAAACAGGAUUAGAUACCCUGGUAGUCCACGCCGUAAACGAUGAGUGCUAAGUGUUAGGGGGUUUCCGCCCCUUAGUGCUGCAGCUAACGCAUUAAGCACUCCGCCUGGGGAGUACGACCGCAAGGUUGAAACUCAAAGGAAUUGACGGGGACCCGCACAAGCGGUGGAGCAUGUGGUUUAAUUCGAAGCAACGCGAAGAACCUUACCAAAUCUUGACAUCCUUUGACCGCUCUAGAGAUAGAGUCUUCCCCUUCGGGGGACAAAGUGACAGGUGGUGCAUGGUUGUCGUCAGCUCGUGUCGUGAGAUGUUGGGUUAAGUCCCGCAACGAGCGCAACCCUUAAGCUUAGUUGCCAUCAUUAAGUUGGGCACUCUAGGUUGACUGCCGGUGACAAACCGGAGGAAGGUGGGGAUGACGUCAAAUCAUCAUGCCCCUUAUGAUUUGGGCUACACACGUGCUACAAUGGAUAAUACAAAGGGCAGCGAAUCCGCGAGGCCAAGCAAAUCCCAUAAAAUUAUUCUCAGUUCGGAUUGUAGUCUGCAACUCGACUACAUGAAGCUGGAAUCGCUAGUAAUCGUAGAUCAGCAUGCUACGGUGAAUACGUUCCCGGGUCUUGUACACACCGCCCGUCACACCACGAGAGUUUGUAACACCCGAAGCCGGUGGAGUAA